rnacentral:rRNA from 1 species
UACGUAGGGUGCAAGCGUUAAUCGGAAUUACUGGGCGUAAAGCGUGCGCAGGCGGUUGUGCAAGACCGAUGUGAAAUCCCCGGGCUUAACCUGGGAAUGGCAUUGGUGACUGUACGGCUAGAGUGUGUCAGAGGGGGGUAGAAUUCCACGUGUAGCAGUGAAAUGCGUAGAGAUGUGGAGGAAUACCGAUGGCAAAGGCAGCCCCCUGGGAUAACACUGACGCUCAUGCACGAAAGCGUGGGGAGCAAACAGG